rnacentral:tRNA from 1 species
CGCGGUCCUCGUCCAGGCCGAACGCGAUGAUCCGUUCCGGAUGGAUCCGGAUCAGCGGCUCGGGGCCGUCGAUCGCCUC